AGUGAACGCUGGCGGCAGGCCUAACACAUGCAAGUCGAACGGAUCCUUCGGGAUUAGUGGCGGACGGGUGAGUAACACGUGGGAACGUGCCCUUUGGUUCGGAACAACUCAGGGAAACUUGAGCUAAUACCGGACGUGACCUUCGGGGGAAAGAUUUAUCGCCAUUGGAGCGGCCCGCGUCUGAUUAGAUGGUUGGGGAGGUAACGGCCCACCAAGGCGACGAUCAGUAGCUGGUUAGUGAGGAAGGUCAGCCACACUGAGACUGAGACACGGCCCGGACUCCUACGGGAGGCAGGAGUGGGGAAUCGUGCGCAAUGGGGGAAAGCAUGACGCAGCCAGGACGGGUGAAUGAUGAAAGUCUUAGGAUAGUAAAAUGCUUGCAGCGGUGACGAUAAUGACGGUACCCGCAGAAGAAGCUCCGGCUAACUUCGUG
rnacentral:rRNA from 1 species